GAUGAACGCUGGCGGCGUGCCUAAUACAUGCAAGUCGAGCGAACAGACGAGGAGCUUGCUCCUCUGACGUUAGCGGCGGACGGGUGAGUAACACGUGGAUACCCUACCUAUAAGACUGGGAUAACUUCGGGAAACCGGAGAUAAUACCGGAUAAUAUAUUGAACCGCAUGGUUCAAUAGUGAAAGACGGUUUUGCUGUCACUUAUAGAUGGAUCCGCGCCGCAUUAGCUAGUUGGUAAGGUAACGGCUUACCAAGGCAACGAUGCGUAGCCGACCUGAGAGGGUGAUCGGCCACACGAGAGCUGAGACACGGUCCAUACUCCUACGGUAGGCAGCAGUAGGGAAUCGUCCGCAAUGGGCGAAAGCUUGACGGAGCAACGCCGCGUGAGUGAUGAAGGUCUUCGGAUCGUAAAACUCUGUUAUUAGGUAAGAACAAAUGUGUAAGUAACUAUGCACGUCUUGACGGUACCUAAUCAGAAAGCCACGGCUAACUACGUG
rnacentral:rRNA from 1 species